UACAGAGGUCUCAAGCGUUGUUCGGAUUCAUUGGGCGUAAAGGGUGUGUAGGUGGCGCGCUAAGUCGGGUGUGAAAUUUCGGAGCUUAACUCCGAAACUGCAUUCGAUACUGGCGUGCUUGAGGACUGGAGAGGAGACUGGAAUUCAUGGUGUAGCAGUGAAAUGCGUAGAGAUCGUAAGGAAGACCAGUGGCGAAGGCGGGUCUCUGGACAGUUCCUGACACUGAGGCACGAAGGCCAGGGGAGCAAACCGG
rnacentral:rRNA from 1 species